UUUUUACCUUGCAUGUACGAAUUAACAAAAGAAAAUUAAUGAUAGAUGUUGAAUUAUCUGCACAUAUGAUCAAUAUUGGGGAGUUAGCUACUAUGUAGCAGUCUCACGUAAAAUAGAAUAUAUAAUGAAUGGUUCUACUUAGGGCUAGUUUUGUAUUGUUGUGCUUUAAAAAAAAAAGCAUGUGUUGAGUAGUGAGAAUAAACAGCUUUGAAAUAAAGCAGUAAAAUAAUUGGUAAACUAUAGUUGUAAAAGUUGUUAUAAUGUUUGAUAAACUUUUAUAUAAAAUAGCACUGGCUAUGUAAAAUGACAAAAAAGGCAUAAUACAUAUGUGUAUUAAUUUCAUCAUUUGGAAAAUAAAGGUUAAUUAUUAAAAUAUAUAUCUACACUAAAAGGGAGGGGAUCGGUUUAGCCUCACAAUGGGCUAACAAUAAUGUAAUUCAAAUUGGCUUUUGGAGAGAAUCGGACCUAAGACACCUAAGACCUCUCACUUACAAGUGAAGAGGAAUACCAUUAGACCGUAGUACUAAAUUAUAAUUAUUAAAAAAUAUUUAUAUCUUAGUUUAAACCUCUCACACUCUCAAAUCCCCAAAUUUAAAAACCCAACAAGAAAAUCAAACAAAACAAAAAAUGAAAUUUGGUUGAAAUUUUCAUACAAGAGAAGCUUACCAGAUGAAGGACGUGAGCUAGGGUAGCGUUUGGUACGCAGACGGGACGGGACGGGACGGGACGGGACGGGACGGAACGGGACGGAACAUAUGUUCUGUGUUAUGUUUGGUA
rnacentral:lncRNA from 1 species